rnacentral:rRNA from 1 species
AGCAGUCGCCACGGUAAUACGUAGGGUGCAAGCGUUAAUCGGAAUUACUGGGCGUAAAGCGUGCGCAGGCGGUUAUAUAAGACAGAUGUGAAAUCCCCGGGCUCAACCUGGGAACUGCAUUUGUGACUGUAUAGCUAGAGUACGGCAGAGGGGGAUGGAAUUCCGCGUGUAGCAGUGAAAUGCGUAGAUAUGCGGAGGAACACCGAUGGCGAAGGCAAUCCCCUGGGCCUGUACUGACGCUCAUGCACGAAAGCGUGGGGAGCAAACAGGAUUAGAUACCCAGUAGUCCCUGUCUCUUAUACC